UGGGGAAUAUUGCGCAAUGGGCGAAAGCCUGACGCAGCGACGCCGCGUGAAGGAAGAAGGCCCUCGGGUUGUAAACUUCUUUGUCAGGGACGAAGCAAGUGACGGUACCUGACGAAUAAGCCACGGCUAACUACGUGCCAGCAGCCGCGGUAAUACGUAGGUGGCAAGCGUUAUCCGGAUUUACUGGGUGUAAAGGGCGUGUAGGCGGGACUGCAAGUCAGAUGUGAAAUUUCAGGGCUCAACCUGAACCUGCAUUUGAAACUGUAGUUCUUGAGUGAUGGAGAGGCAGGCGGAAUUCCGUGUGUAGCGGUGAAAUGCGUAGAUAUACGGAGGAACACCAGUGGCGAAGGCGGCCUGCUGGACAUUAACUGACGCUGAGGCGCGAAAGCGUGGGGAGCAAACAGGAUUAGAUACC
rnacentral:rRNA from 1 species